GACAGAGGAGCCAAGCGUUGUCCGGAUUGACUGGGCGUAAAGCGCACGCAGGCGGAUGCGCGCGUGGGGUGUGAAAUCUGGCCGCUUAACGGCCAGGCGCCAUCCCAUACGGCGCGUCUGGAGUGAUGCAGAGGUCGAUGGAAUUGCCGGUGUAGUGGUGAAAUGCGUAGAGAUCGGCAGGAACACCCAGGGGGAAACCAGUCGACUGGGCAUCUACUGACGCUGAGGUGCGAGAGCGUGGGGAGCG
rnacentral:rRNA from 1 species